CCUAGGGUGGCAGCAGUCGAGAAUCAUUCACAAUGGGGGAAAACCUGAUGGUGCGACGCCGCGGGGGGGAAUGAAGGUCUUAGGAUUGUAAACCCCUGUCAUGUGGGAGCAAAUUAAAAAGAUAGUACCACAAGAGGAAGAGACGGCUAACUCUGUGCCAGCAGCCGCGGUAAUACAGAGGUGUCAAGCGUUGUUAGGAAUCACUGGGCGUAAAGCGUGCGGAGGCUGUUUAGUAAGUCGGUUGUGAAAGGCGCGGGCUCAACCCGCGGACGGCACAUGAUACUGCGAGACUAGAGUAAUGGAGGGGGAACCGGAAUUCUCGGUGUAGGAGUGAAAUGCGUAGAUAUCGAGAGGAACACUCGUGGCGAAGGCGGGUUCCUGGACAUUAACUGACGCUGAGGCACGAAGGCCAGGGGAGCGAAAGGGAUUAGAUACCCUUGUAGUC
rnacentral:rRNA from 1 species